GAUCCUGGCUCAGGAUGAACGCUGGCGGCGUGCUUAAUACAUGCAAGUCGAACGAAGCGCCUUGGACAGAAUCCUUCGGGAGGAAGACCAUUGUGACUGAGUGGCGGACGGGUGAGUAACGCGUGGGUAACCUGCCUUGUACAGGGGGAUAACAGUUGGAAACGACUGCUAAUACCGCAUAAGCGCACAGUACCGCAUUGUACGGUGUGAAAAACUCCGGUGGUACAAGAUGGACCCGCGUCUGAUUAG
rnacentral:rRNA from 1 species